CGAACGCUGGCGGCAGGCCUAAUACAUGCAAGUCGAACGGCUCUUCGGAGCAGUGGCGGACGGGUGAGUAACGCGUGGGAAUGUGCCCUUCGGUACGGAACAACACAGGGAAACUUGUGCUAAUACCGUAUGUGCCCUUCGGGGGAAAGAUUUAUCGCCAUUGGAGCAGCCCGCGUUGGAUUAGGUAGUUGGUGAGGUAAAGGCUCACCAAGCCUACGAUCCAUAGCUGGUCUGAGAGGAUGACCAGCCACACUGGGACUGAGACACGGCCCAGACUCCUACGGGAGGCAGCAGUAGGGAAUCUUGCGCAAUGGGCGAAAGCCUGACGCAGCCAUGCCGCGUGUAUGAUGAAGGUCUUAGGAUUGUAAAAUACUUUCACCAGGGAAGAUAAUGACGGUACCCGGAGAAGAAGCCCCGGCUAACUUCGUGCCAGCAGCCGCGGUAACAC
rnacentral:rRNA from 1 species